UGGGGAAUUUUGCACAAUGGGCGCAAGCCUGAUGCAGCGACGCCGCGUGAGGGAUGAAGGCCUUCGGGUUGUAAACCUUUUUCGCUCAUGGUCAAGCCGCAGCUUUGGGUUGUGGUGAGGGUAGUGGGUAAAGAAGCGCCGGCUAACUACGUGCCAGCAGCCGCGGUAAUACGUAGGUCCCGAGCGUUGUCCGGAUUUAUUGGGCGUAAAGCGAGCGCAGGCGGUUAGAAAAGUCUGAAGUGAAAGGCAGUGGCUCAACCAUUGUAGGCUUUGGAAACUGUUUAACUUGAGUGCAGAAGGGGAGAGUGGAAUUCCAUGUGUAGCGGUGAAAUGCGUAGAUAUUCGGAGGAAUACCGGUGGCGAAGGCGACUUUCUGGCCAUAAUCUGACGCUGAGGUACGAAAGCGUGGGUAGCAAACAGG
rnacentral:rRNA from 1 species